AUUGAACGCUGGCGGCAUGCUUUACACAUGCAAGUCGAACGGCAGCGCGGGCUUCGGCCUGGCGGCGAGUGGCGAACGGGUGAGUAAUGCAUCGGAACGUGCCCAGUAGUGGGGGAUAGCCCGGCGAAAGCCGGAUUAAUACCGCAUACGACCUGAGGGUGAAAGCGGGGGACCGAAAGGCCUCGUGCUAUUGGAGCGGCCGAUGUCGGAUUAGCUAGUUGGUGGGGUAAAGGCUUACCAAGGCGACGAUCCGUAGCUGGUCUGAGAGGACGACCAGCCACACUGGGACUGAGACACGGCCCAGACUCCUACGGGAGGCAGCAGUGGGGAAUUUUGGACAAUGGGGGCAACCCUGAUCCAGCCAUGCCGCGUGCGGGAAGAAGGCCUUCGGGUUGUAAACCGCUUUUGUUCGGGAAGAAAUCCUCUGGGCUAAUACCCCGGGGGGAUGACGGUACCGGAAGAAUAAGCACCGGCUAACUACGU
rnacentral:rRNA from 1 species